rnacentral:lncRNA from 1 species
GGGCCAGUCAAAUGAAAGUUAGCCAAAGCAAAUAUAUGACAAACGGGGUAUUUUAUUUAAAAGUAGUCUCCAUGAGCAUUUAGACAUUUGUCCCACUGACUAACGAGUCACGUGAUUCCCGUCUCAUAAAACUCCUUGGGUUGCUGCUUCAAAAACCCAGUAACUGACUCUUUCACGUCAUCGUCCGACACGAAUCUCGUUCCCUUGAGCUGUUUCUUCAAUUGCCCAAAAAUGUGGAAGUCGCAAGGUCUGGGCUGUAUGGCGGAUGUUGCAGCGUUUCCCACUUGAACUUUGCUAGUUUUGUGUUAACCACAUCAGCGACGUGGUGAUGGGCAUUGUCGUGGAGCAAGAUGACCCCAUUCGUCAAUUUUCCACGUCUUUUGUUCUUGAUUGUGACACACAGCUGAUCCAGAGUUUACCAAUAACGGAAAUGAUUGAUAGCCUCUCCAGGUUUAGUAAAUUCGAUCAGUAAUGGCCCCUGACGAUCGAAAGAAAAAAGUCAACAGCACCUUUCCGGCGGAAAUGACGGCCUUUGUUUUCUUUGGGGGUGGUGAAUUCGUAUGUUUCCACUGUAAGCUUUGCUGUCGUGUUUCAGGCUUGUAGUAGUGGCAUGAUGAUUCGUCCCCGGUCACAAUUGCAGACAAGAAGUCGUUGCCCCAUUGUGAUAUCGGAUCAGAUGAGUCAAAGCAGCGCCGAACCACUCCGUCUUCUCGCGGUGGUUCAAAAUCUUGGGCAUCCAUUGUGCACACAAGAGCUGAUAACCUAGAUGGUCAUUAAUUAUGGUGUCAAUCGAACCGUGACUGAUGUUACGCGCUCUGCCAGUUCAUCGUGCUUAUCCUCCGUUCUUGUAUAAUCAGCUCAUCAACCUUUGCAAUUGUGUUGGGGGUGAUUGCACAGUGGCUUUGGCCCGGUGUUGGAUCGUCUUUGCAACUUUCACGUCCUUCUUUGAACUGUUUGCUCCAACGCUUCACAGUGGCCAAUGAAAUGCAAUGUUCACCGUACACGGCAGCCAUACGACGACUAAUUUCUUUUUGGGAAACACCUUCAGCUGUCAAAAACCUCACGACACCACGCUGUUCAACUUUUGGAGCAUCCAUUAUGUCACGCAACCCUGUCCAACCCAGUGUAUGAGAGCAUUAAGAACAUUUAUCCUCACACCUUCGUGCCACUAUUGUAAAUGUCAGAUGCCUGUGUGCUGCACGCAUGCCUCGCAGAUAAUGGACCGAGCCAUUAUUGCACGGGGUGGGUUGGCUCACUUUCAUUUGACUCGCCCUUGUGCAUGAGAAAUGCGA